GGGUCUCUAGCUCAGGUAGAGCAGCUGACUGCAGAUCAUCAGGUCUCCGGUUCAAACCUGGAGGGGCCCU
rnacentral:tRNA from 1 species